CUUAGUAACUGCGAGUGAAGCGGCAAAAGCUCAAAUUUGAAAUCGGUGUGCCUAAAGUACAUCGAGUUGUAAUUUGGAGGGACAACUUCGGACUGAACCACACCGUAAGUUUCUUGGAACAGGACAUCAUAGAGGGUGAGAAUCCCGUGUCUUGGUGUAGGGUCAAACCAUGUGAAGUGUCUCCGACGAGUCGAGUUGUUUGGGAAUGCAGCUCAAAAUGGGUGGUAAAUUUCAUCUAAAGCUAAAUAUUGGCGAGAGACCGAUAGCGCACAAGUAGAGUGAUCGAAAGAUGAAAAGCACUUUGAAAAGAGAGUUAAAAAGUACGUGAAAUUGUUGAAAGGGAAGCGCUUACGACCAGACUCGAUCUUUGGUGAUCAGCCGGAUUUCGGUUCGGUGCCCUCGCCAUUGAUUGGGCCAGCAUCGGUUCUGACGGUGGGAUAAAAGGAGGAGGAAUGUAGCUCCCCUCGGGGAGUGUUAUAGCCUCCUUCACAAUGCCGCCAGUUGGGACCGAGGACCGCGCUUCGGCUAGGAUGCUGGUGUAAUGGUCUUAAGCGACCCGUCUUGAAACACGGACCAAGGAGUCUAACAUCUAUGCGAGUGUUCGGGUGGAAAACCCUUGCGCGUAAUGAAAGUGAACGGAGGUGUGAACCCUUCACGGGGUGCAACAUCGACCGGUCCUGAUGUCUUCGGAAGGAUCUGAGUAAGAGCAUAGCUGUUGGGACCCGAAAGAUGGUGAACUAUGCCUGAAUAGGGUGAAGCCAGAGGAAACUCUGGUGGAGGCUCGCAGCGGUUCUGACGUGCAAAUCGAUCGUCAAAUUUGGGUAUAGGGGCGAAAGACUAAUCGAACCAUCUAGUAGCUGGUCCUG
rnacentral:rRNA from 1 species